AUCACGAUCGGACAGAGACUUUGGGACCUGGACUGCAAAUUACUGCCGCUUAGCACAACUUUUAUAAAACUUGCUUAGCAUGAGUAGCUAAAUUUGCUGAAGCCUUAGGCCGCACUCCCUAGUUCAGUGAGAAGGGGCCCCAGAGCUGGUGCAGACUGGAAAGAUAAGGGAGUUACAAGCAGUUUGCAUUCCUAUGCGUCACACUCCAGGAGGGAGGAUGUCAAGGCUUUGAAGUGAGGCCUGCUUGGGCACCAGGACCCUGGGAAACAAAGCCUCCCCUCACUGCUGAAACAGUGUUAAUUAGGGGGGGUCUGCAUUAUAUCCUCUUCGUCGGGACCUUGGAAGAUAACACCUACUGUCACUGCUGGGGCAGUGCUAAUUGCUGGAACAACACCUGUUUGUCAGGGCCCUGAGAAAGAAGGGCAGAACCCGAGGAAUCAAAACACAUUUGUCAGCAGAAACCGCAACAGUAAAGAUAAGGGAGAAAAGCAGCCUGCCUGGGAACAACGAUGAGACCCAAUAGGGAGCAGGAGACCCCAGACCCAAAAAUUACUAUUGGUCUGAACUACCGCGUGAGGGGUGGGAAACUUAAUUUGAAAAAGCUAUAAUUGCCCAGGGAUUUCUUUGUUCGGGGUCCCUCUUCGGAGGCACCCAACUCGAGCUGUAACUACUGCACACGUGUCAUUAUUUAAUUUGCCUUGAUUUGGCUCCGAACUUUUCAGCGGGAACCUAGGGUCGGACCCUGCUCGAGUUGUAAUUACUGCAUGCGCAUCGCUAAAAUUUACACCCAGAGUGAAGAGGACCAACGGGACGCCGCUGGAUCCAUGGGUGAUUGCAGAAAAGCAUGCUGUGUCUCAGGAAAACACCUGUUUCACCAGGGAGAACAAAUGAGAACAAUGUAAAAUGUAACAGCAAGGGAUUUAUAAAAGGGAAAAGCAGGAAAAGGAGCGUAACACUGCCUCAGUUUCAAGGACCUGAAGACUUUUCUUUCUACUAUACAUGUGAUAAAUGUUUGAAUCCUGAUAUACCUCUUAUCCUGCAUUUUUAAGUCAGUGCCUGACAGAUGCCUGUAAUAACCAGCAUGCACGAAUGAACAGACAACAAAAUUGAAGGAUAGCUUUCCAAAAUAUUACACACACAGCAUUGCUAACACUAGGGCCACAAAAAAGAGUAGCAGUUUUUGUUUUCUGUGCCAUUACUUCUGAAGUUGGCUGGCUUUGGAGAUGACACUUGUCUACGAUGUUGUCACUAUAAUGAGGACAACUAGAGAAUAGACUGUAAGCACUGUAAAGGAGAACGAGAGAAGUACCUGAAUGGGUUGAUCUUCAGUGAGAAAAUCAACUUGGCAUAAAACAGCCUGACAUGUUAUAAAAGCUCAAUGAAAAAUCCUGCCUCAUCGACAGAACAUGGAUUGCCACCAGUCUACAUUAAAGCGAUUUUUUCACAUCCAAGUUUCAUUUUAGAACAUUUUGGUACUAAAAGAACAUUAAAAGUGGAAGUUGUCUGACUCUCAUCACAGCAGAAGAGUAGGUAUCACUUUACAGGACGGAAAGGCUUAGAACUAGCACUGUCCAGCUUUGGACCAGGCAGAUCCAGUAUUUGAUAAGAACUUCUUUUUCAAUGCCUGAUGAACACAGAUAUUCAAAUGGGGCAGCCAUACAAUCCAUGCAAAAAUUACUGUUGAAGUAUAGAGCUUACGCUCUUGUUCUUGCAGAGGAGUUUGAAAAUGAAAAGCCAUCCGCCUACUAACUUCAUCCAAUUUCUUGCUCCUUUAAAAAUAGUGUAGUAAUCUGCCACUGAAAUGAAUUACUACCCAGAUUUCAGCAGUAGAUCUGUUGCAGUCACUCAGUAUCUCUGACUCCAUUUCCAUCUCAAGAACAGCAAUAUCAAGCUUUCUUUUGUUUAGCAUACUAGUGGAAAUACAUUCUUCAGCAUUUGCUGUGAUAUGCUGCUUGGACAUUAUGAUGAUGAAAGCUAUGAUGAAUUGGGGCAAAAAGCCUCUAGGUUUCUAGGGCACACGGUAUGAGAAUGUUUGCCUAAAGCAGUGCCAAAUAUUGGUGGAACAUUUUACAGAAUUAUCAAUUUUACAGUCUCUUCUAAUUAUACUUGAAUUUGCCUUGAGAUAUUAAUUUUAUGAAUUUCUGUUAUGUUGAUUGAUGUUCUGAACCACAAAAUGAUCUGAUGAAAUUCAUAGCUGCAAUAAAACUCCAUCAUGUUUUGCUGGAAAUACUUGAACUUUUUUUCAUCUAAUCUCCCCGAUGAGGUUUCAAAGUUCCACUU